rnacentral:rRNA from 1 species
UACGUAUGGAGCAAGCGUUAUCCGGAUUUACUGGGUGUAAAGGGAGUGUAGGUGGCCAGGCAAGUCAGAAGUGAAAGCCCAGGGCUCAACCCCGGGACUGCUUUUGAAACUGCAGGGCUAGAGUGCAGGAGGGGCAAGUGGAAUUCCUAGUGUAGCGGUGAAAUGCGUAGAUAUUAGGAGGAACACCAGUGGCGAAGGCGGCUUGCUGGACUGUAACUGACACUGAGGCUCGAAAGCGUGGGGAGCAAACAGG